GAUGAAGAACGUAGCGAAAUGCGAUAAGUAAUGUGAAUUGCAGAAUUCAGUGAAUCAUCGAAUCUUUGAACGCACAUUGCGCCCCCUGGUAUUCCGGGGGGCAUGCCUGUUCGAGCGUCAUUUCAACCCUCAAGCUCUGCUUGGUAUUGAGUCCAUGUCAGCAAUGGCAGGCUCCAAAAUCAGUGGCGGCGCCGCUGGGUCCUGAACGUAGUAAUAUCUCUCGUUACAGGUGCUCGGCGUGCUUCUGCCAAAACCCCAAUUUUUCUAUGGUUGAACUCGGAUCAGGUAGGGAUACCCGCUGAACUUAAGCAUAUCAAUAAGCGGAGGA
rnacentral:misc_RNA from 1 species